UACAGAGGGCGCGAGCGUGUCCGGAAUUAUUGGGCGUAAAGAGCUCGUAGGCGGCUUGUCACGUCGGGUGUGAAAGCCCGGGGCUUAACCCCGAGCCUGCUUCUGAUACGGGCAGACUAGAGGUAUGCAGGGGAGAACGGAAUUCCUGGUGUAGCGGUGAAAUGCGCAGAUAUUAGGAGGAACACCGGUGGCGAAGGCGGUCUCUCG
rnacentral:rRNA from 1 species